CCUACGGGGGGCUGCAGUAAGGAAUAUUGGGCAAUGGACGCAAGUCUGACCCAGCCAUGCCGCGUGAAGGAUGACGGCCCUAUGGGUUGUAAACUUCUUUUGUACGGGAAAAAACCUUCGAACGUGUUCGAAGCUGAUGGUACCGUAAGAAUAAGCAUCGGCUAACUCCGUGCCAGCAGCCGCGGUAAUACGGAGGAUGCAAGCGUUAUCCGGAUUCAUUGGGUUUAAAGGGUGCGUAGGCGGGAUAAUAAGUCAGUGGUGAAAGCCUACAGCUUAACUGUAGAACUGCCAUUGAUACUGUUAACCUUGAGUACAAUUGAAGUGGGCGGAAUGUGUCAUGUAGCGGUGAAAUGCUUAGAUAUGACACAGAACACCGAUAGCGAAGGCAGCUCACUAAACUGUAACUGACGCUGAGGCACGAAAGCGUGGGGAUCAAACAGGCUUAGAUACCCCUGUAGUC
rnacentral:rRNA from 1 species